rnacentral:tRNA from 2 species
GGGGUUGUGGCCUAGCCCGGCAUGGCGACGGGCUCCAGACCCGUCGAUCGUGAGUUCAAAUCUCACCAACCCCA